rnacentral:rRNA from 1 species
AAUGAACGCUGGCGGCAUGCCUAACACAUGCAAGUCGAACGAGACCUUCGGGUCUUGUGGCGUACGAGUUCGUCACCCGUGGGGACCUGCCCACAGGGUUGGAAUAACUCUCCGAAUGGGGUGCUAAUACCGGACAAUGUCUUCGGCCCAAAGAUUUAUUGCACUUGAUUGGUCCCGCGUUGGAUUCGCUAGUUGUUAGGGUAAUAGCAUACCACGGCGACGAUCCACAGCUUGGUUGAGAGGAUGAUCAGCCACACUUAGACUAAGACGCGGCCCAGAAUCCUACGGGAGGCAGCAGAGCGGGAUAGUGCACCGUCGGCGGAGGGAUGAUCCAGCACGGCCGGGUGAGUGAUGAAGGCCUUAGGGUAGUAAAGCGCUUUUACCCGGGAUGAUAAUGACAGUACCGGGAGAAUAAGCUCCGGCUAACUACGUG